rnacentral:misc_RNA from 1 species
ACUUCACGGUCAGCACCGCAUGGCCUUCGCCCUUCUUGUCGCGCACCACCGUGAUCAGCAGCGCUUCGCGCGGCCAUCCGGCGUCGAUCAGCAUCUUGCGNCAGGACAUAGUCCUCGCAGUCGCCAUAUCCGUCGGUGGGAUACGACCACUUCUCGAUGACGCCCCAGUGAUCCAUGUCGGUCAUCGGCUUGACGGUCUCGUUGACCCAGCGAUUGACCCGCAAG